CUUUACACAAUAGAGUGAAUCCUGGGUGGGACAGGAGUUGGAGAUGAGAAAUAUUUUAUGUCCCUUCUUGGGAGAAGAGAGAGGCUUAAAGGCCUCCUGGCGCCUGUCCACUGUUGUUCUUCACAUCAGGAAAUAGAUGGAGCAGAUACUCCAGAGAAGAAAGCAUUUUGUAAGAAGUCAGGGGACCCAAGUUUACUCAUCAGGAGACUCCUGUGUGUCCUCAGUGUCCCCGGCGUCCCCUCCUCAUUUGCAGACCGAUGUAUAAACCAGCACUGUUACUCGUGUUCUCAAUCAAAAAUCCAGUACACAGCUUCACAGACGUGGCUGCAACAGCUGGAGAAGUCGGGCUCCCUGGGAGACAGUAGAGAAGUUUAUCCUACUCCCCAACAUCAAAAUGUGGCAAGAACAAGGACAAAUGGGACCACUUAAAAUAAGUGUCAUCUACAUUUAGGGCAAGGUGGCUUUGAUAAAGCUUCAACUGAACCCAACUCUCAGACCCAAAGAGAAGCAGGAAACCAGCAACUGAGAAAUAUAGGGCAAAUGUUUUUAACUGAAGGAGAUAGAAGAAUUCCACUUUUUCUUUUCUGACCUAGCUGCUGAGUUUGGAUGGAUCAGAUGGAUUCUCUAAUGGUUUCACCUAAGUAAGCAAAGCCAUGCUAUCCAUAAAAUGUCAGAAACGAGGAUUGUAGAAGGAGGCCUGCCUGCUUCUUUUCAAAGAGGAGGAGCUGAAGCAUGGAGACUGAGAAAGAACAUGUUAGCAACUAAUGGAAGAGCUGGGAUGAGAACCAAAUCCUCUCAGUUCACCAGAAAGUGCUUACAAACUAUGGAGAUGGUAGCAGGGGCUUCCCAAAGAGUACUUCCCUCAUUCAGGGGACCUGAGGAUUUUCUCCCGAUUUUCUUCCUGCCUAAACACACAGAGGCUUUCUUGAUCUCUCCUCCUCUCUCAAACUCCUUCCUUUUCUCUUCCAUUCAGUCUCUUUCUCUCUUUCCCUUUCCAUUGCUAACAUUUAUUGAGCACUUAUUAUGUUCCAGGCACUUGGAUCUGCAUUUUCUCACUUAAUCUUCAUGCUAACCCUAUGAGGUAAGCCCAAUAGUUUUUUUUUUAAUAUUUAUUUAUUUAUUUAUGAUAGACAUAGAAAGAGAGAGAGGCAGAGACACAGGAGGAGGGAGAAGCAGGCUCCAUGCCGGGAGCCCGACGUGGGACUCGAUCCCAGGACUCCAGGAUCGUGCCCCGGGCCAAAGGCAGGCACUAAACCGCUGAGCCACCCAGGGAUCCCCAGAUGUGUCAGCCAGGCACAGGGAAGAGAGCCUGAAUUAGAGCCGAUUAGAGACCAUCUUCUCCCAGAGGAGGGCAAGCCUGCCUGUCAACCUGAGCCCCGCGCGGCCCCCGGGACCACCUCGGGGAGGAGGCCGCCCUGCUACCAGCCU